GGCAUAGUUGUCAGCUUCUAAUCGCCCUUGGGCAAUUUUUUAUGAUCUGGCCUCAAAUCAGGUAGGACUACCCGCUGAACUUAAGCAUAUCAAUAAGCGGAGGAAAAGAAACUAACAAGGAUUCCCCUAGUAACGGCGAGUGAAGCGGGAUGAGCUCAAAUUUAAAAUCUGGCGGUCUCAGAUCGUCCGAGUUGUAGUCUAGAGAAGCGUUUUCCGUGCUGGCCUGUGUACAAGUCCGUUGGAACACGGCGUCAUAGAGGGUGAGAAUCCCGUCCUUGACACAGAUCUCCAGUGCUUUGUGAUGCGCUCUCAAAGAGUCGAGUUGUUUGGGAAUGCAGCUCAAAAUGGGUGGUAAAUUCCAUCUAAAGCUAAAUAUUGGCGAGAAACCGAUAGCGAACAAGUACCGUGAGGGAAAGAUGAAAAGCACUUUGGAAAGAGAGUUAAACAGUACGUGAAAUUGUUGAAAGGGAAACGAUUGAAGUCAGUCAUGCUUUCCGAGACUCAGCCGGUUCUGCCGGUGUACUUCUCGGUUUGCAGGCCAGCAUCAGUUUUGGGCGGUGGAAAAGGUUGGCGGGAAUGUGGCAUCCUCGGAUGUGUUAUAGCCCGCUUUCGAAUACAUCGCCCGGGACUGAGGAACGCAGCACGCCUCUUGUAGGUCGGUCUUCGGA
rnacentral:rRNA from 1 species